GAUGAACGCUGGCGGCGUGCCUAAUACAUGCAAGUCGAGCGAACGGACGAGAAGCUUGCUUCUCUGAUGUUAGCGGCGGACGGGUGAGUAACACGUGGAUAACCUACCUAUAAGACUGGGAUAACUUCGGGAAACCGGAGCUAAUACCGGAUAAUAUUUUGAACCGCAUGGUUCAAAAGUUAAAGACGGUCUUGCUGUCACUUAUAGCUGGAUCCGCGCUGCAUUAGCUAGUUGGUAAGGUAACGGCUUACCAAGGCAACGAUGCAUAGCCGACCUGAGAGGGUGAUCGGCCACACUGGAACUGAGACACGGUCCAGACUCCUACGGGAGGCAGCAGUAGGGAAUCUUCCGCAAUGGGCGAAAGCCUGACGGAGCAACGCCGCGUGAGUGAUGAAGGUCUUCGGAUCGUAAAACUCUGUUAUUAGGGAAGAACAUAUGUGUAAGUAACUGUGCACAUCUUGACGGUACCUAAUCAGAAAGCCACGGCUAACUACGUG
rnacentral:rRNA from 1 species